AGUGAACGCUGGCGGUAGGCCUAACACAUGCAAGUCGAACGGCAGCACAGUAAGCGCUUGCUCUUACGGGUGGCGAGUGGCGGACGGGUGAGGCAUACAUCGGAAUCUACUUUUUCGUGGGGGAUAACGUAGGGAAACUUACGCUAAUACCGCAUACGACCUACGGGUGAAAGCAGGGGAUCUUCGGACCUUGCGCGAUUGAAUGAGCCGAUGUCGGAUUAGCUAGUUGGCGGGGUAAAGGCCCACCAAGGCGACGAUCCGUAGCUGGUCUGAGAGGAUGAUCAGCCACACUGGAACUGAGACACGGUCCAGACUCCUACGGGAGGCAGCAGUGGGGAAUAUUGGACAAUGGGCGCAAGCCUGAUCCAGCCAUACCGCGUGGGUGAAGAAGGCCUUCGGGUUGUAAAGCCCUUUUGUUGGGAAAGAAAAGCAGCAGGUUAAUACCCCGCUGUUCUGACGGUACCCAAGGAAUAAGCACCGGCUAACUUCGUG
rnacentral:rRNA from 1 species